rnacentral:rRNA from 1 species
UACGUAGGGACCAAGCGUUGUUCGGAUUUACUGGGCGUAAAGGGCGCGUAGGCGGCAAUUCAAGUCAGUUGUGAAAUCUCCGAGCUUAACUCGGAACGGUCAACUGAUACUGCUUUGCUAGAGUACAGAAGGGGCAAUCGGAAUUCUUGGUGUAGCGGUGAAAUGCGUAGAUAUCAAGAGGAACACCUGAGGUGAAGACGGGUUGCUGGGCUGAUACUGACGCUGAGGCGCGAAAGCUAGGGUAGCAACGGG